rnacentral:ncRNA from 2 species
GUAUGCUCCCUCUGCUGCGGCGUUCGGGAACCCGGUGUGAAACCGGGGCGGCCCUCGCCACUGUGAACGGGAAGUCGGCGUCCAUCAGUGCCACUGCUCGCGCAUCGCGUGGGCGGGAAGGCGGAUUCCGGCGAGUCAGGCCGAUGGUCUGGUGUGCCCGUGAGCCAGGAGACCGGCCGCAGCACCGACAUCGAU